GUCUUGUCUCUUUAGAUAUAAAUAGCUUUUUUUAUUAUUAUUGAUUAACAUUGAACUGAAUGACCUCUGAAGGUGCAUUUUAAAGGUAUUGUCAUGUACUGUCAUGUUGUCUUGUCUCUGUCCUUUCCCUUCACCCUGUCUCCCUCUGCUGGUCGUGUUAGGUUACCUUUUCUCCCCCGCUUUCCCCCAGCUGUCCCUUGUCUCCUCUAACUACCCAUUCACCCCGUUCCCCACCUGUUCCCUUUUUCCCUCUGAUUAGGUCCCUAUAUCUCUCUCUGUUUCUGCUCCUGUCCUUGUCGGAUUCUUGUUUGUUUGUGUCAUUCAUGCCUGAACCAGACUGCCGUCAUGUUUGCUGUAACCUUGUCCUGUCCUGUCGGAUUCUUGUUUGUUUGUGUCAUUCAUGCCUGAACCAGACUGCCGUCAUGUUUGCUGUAACCUUGUCCUGUCCUGUCGGAAUCUGCCGGUCCAUCUGAGCCUACCUAUGUUUGAUAAUUAAAGAAGCUCUGUUUAAGUUGAUUCGCUUUUGGGUCCUCAUUCACGCACCGUAACAGGUAUCCCAAACAAUAAGGGGAUUUGCUGAACCUAUAUUAUACUGGACAAAAUUCAGUGAUAAAUUAUUAUUUUUAGUUCAAAAUAAAUUGUUCUCCGGUAAACAAUGAUUACAUUUUCAAUAUCCCCGUCCACGUGGAAUUUCUAUAAGAGUUGUGUGAAGGCUAAUUUAGAUCAGAUCGCAUUCUGUCUCCUAUUAAGACUUUUUUAACCUUUGAUGCAAGAGAUAGAGACAAGAAGGUAGUCUUGUAUAUCUCACAAGGUCAUGUAUUUUUAGUCUCCAAAUAUCCACUAUUUCUAAUGUUUCCAUAAUAUUUGUAAUUUCCUUAUGGGUAUGGUGAUAGUUUGUAGAGAGAUUUCCUUUACAGUCCAUUGAGGUACUUAACACUGUUAUAGACUCCCACCAUAAUGAUUUAAUCGUUUGUUGCCUGUAAGUUCAAUAAAUUGGUCUAAAUAUUUUCAAAGGAGUAUGGAUCAUCCUGAUUUGGACCAUAUAGAUUAACAAGCCACAUCUGUUUUCCAUCCACUUUAAUAUUAAAAAAGAUCCAACUUCCUUGUGAAUCAUUCCUGACUAUUUGCACAUUCAGAUACAUGUUUGGGUUAAUUAAUAACACACCUUAUGAGUUCCUUUGUCCAUGACAGAAAAUGAUUUCAUCACCCCAUUCCUUUUCCCACAGAACUUCAUCUAAGGAUGUGAUAUAGUUUCCUGUAAACAGUAUGUUAUAUUCCUGUUCUUUUAGCCACGUAAAGACUGAGUUUUUUUUAAAUAAUCGGCUAAGCAGUUACAAUUAUAACUGGCUAUACUUAUUUCACACCUUACCAUAACUAGAUACUAUUCUCAGUCUAAAUUUACCAUAAUUAGUGCUUUUAAA
rnacentral:lncRNA from 13 species